UUUUAUUACCGAAAAGCACAGCGAGGGGCGCGGAGCCCCCCCGGGCCCCCCCACUUUGCACUUUCGUCUCUAGAAAGGAGGGGAGGGGGGAGGGGGGGCGUCCCCCGGGACCCCCCGAGGCCGAGCUGGGGGGGGGGCGGGCGGGGGGGGCUCGGGGGGGGCCGGGGGGGCGCCUCCCCCUCCCCCCGUCGCCGCUUUACUCGUUCUUCCAGUUUUUUGUUCCACGUUUUUAGCCGAUAGGGAACCAUUUGCACUAAGGGGGCUGGGGGGGGGCGGGGAUCCGGCCGCCGUCCAAUGGGGAGAGGCUCCGCCCGCGGCGGGGGCGGGAUCCUGCCGGAGCAGGGCCGAGGUCGGAGCCAAUCGGGAGCGGCUUGGUGGGGCGGGGAUCCAGCGUUGAGCCAAUCAGGAGGGGCGCUGUGCUGGGGCGGGGUUCGGUUCGCCCAGGACCCGCUCCUGAGCCAAUCGGGAGCGGCGCUUGGCAGGGCGGGGAUCCGGCCUCGAGCCAAUCGGGGGCAGCUUUCGAUUUGCUUGGGAUCUGGUGUUGAGCCAAUCAGGAGCAGCGUCCAGUAGGGGUGGGAUCCGGCCGCGGGCCAAUCAGGAGCAGCUCUCAGUUUGUUUGGGGGGUGCAGUGUGGAGCCAAUCAGGAGUGGCGAUCCAGUCUCCAGCCAAUCAGGGGUGACUCGGCAUGGAGGCGAGGUGAGGCCUCCCACGAGGGGGAGGGGCUCCAGGUGGGGGCGGGGCAUGGAGAGGUGGGUGUGGCUCAGAUGCUGGGUCACUCUGGGUUGAAGCGGGAUCGGCCCUGGAGCCAAUCAGGCGUGGGGGCGGGGCCAAGCUAGGCGUGCACGGUUGGGGGCGGGGCCAGAUCCAGCCCCGGUCGCGCGGGAGCGACUCUGGGUUCAGAUGGGAUCCGGCCAUGAUCCAAUCAGGAGUGGCUUUGGAUUGGAGGGGCGGGUCCAGUCUCUACCCAGUGGGCAGUCGUGCCAGGCUGGGGCGGGGUCCGGUCGCGAGCCAAUCGGGAGUCACUCUGGGUGGGACGGGGACCUGGUCCCCGUCCAAUCGGGAGUGACUCUGUGUCAGGGAGGGAUCCAGUCUGGAGCCAGUCAGAGGCAUCAGCAGCUUGGGGCGGGAUCCAGCCCGCAGCCAAUCCGGCGUGAGGGUGGGAAGGAACGGGAUCCGGUCCGCAGCCAAUCAGGAGUAAUCGUAUGUUGGGGCAGGAUCCAGCCCGCAGCCAAUCAGGCGUGAGGGUGGGAAGGAACGGGAUCCGGUCCGCAGCCAAUCAGGAGUAAUCGUAUGUUGGGGCAGGAUCCAGCCCGCAGCCAAUCAGGCGUGAGGGUGGGUAGGAACAGGAUCCGGUCUGCAGCCAAUCAGGAGUAACCGUGUGUUGGGGCAGGAUCCAGCCCGCAGCCAAUCAGGCGUGAGGGUGGGUAGGAACAGGAUCCGGUCUGCAGCCAAUCAGGAGUAACCGUGUGUUGGGGCAGGAUCCAGCCCGCAGCCAAUCAGGCGUGAGGGUGGGUAGGAACAGGAUCCGGUCUGCAGCCAAUCAGGAGUAACCGUGUGUUGGGGCAGGAUCCAGCCCGCAGCCAAUCAGGCGUGAGGGUGGGUAGGAACAGGAUCCGGUCUGCAGCCAAUCAGGAGUAACCGUGUGUUGGGGCAGGAUCCAGCCCGCAGCCAAUCAGGCGUGAGGGUGGGUAGGAACAGGAUCCGGUCUGCAGCCAAUCAGGUGUGAGCACGGGUUUUGGGUGGGAUCCGGUCGAUCUAACGACAAGUGACCCGUCCGGGGGGGGAGGAGCGGGAUCCGGUGCCCGUCCCCCGGCAGCCCCUGCCCCCACCCCGUGUGUGCCCCCGUCCCGGGGGGGGUCCCUGUCCCCGAGGGGGGGGUCCCCGUCCUGCACUUUACCGGCCCCGGGGGCGGGGGGGUGUCUCCCCGGGCCCCUCCCCCCCCCCCAAUUCUUCCAGCCCCCCGGGACUGUUAGCGCUUGGCCCCCCCGCGGGCCCCGGCUCCUCAUGGCAAUAACGGGGGGGGGGGCCCGGCCCCGCGGCCAAAACCAUGGAGAAAAGAGCAAAAAACAAAAAAGUGGAGCGGGGGGGGGGGGUGUCUGGCGGGGGGUCCGGCGGGGGCGGGGCCGCUGGGGGGGAGGGGCGCCCCGCACCUAUUUAUUAUCUCUAGUCGCGCGAGGAGACGUUUGCCUUAUAAAUUUACAAGAAAAACCCC